AGCGAACGCUGGCGGCAGGCUUAACACAUGCAAGUCGAGCGGGCCUUUCGGGGUCAGCGGCGGACGGGUGAGUAACGCGUGGGAACGUGCCCUCUGGUUCGGAAUAACUCAGGGAAACUUGAGCUAAUACCGGAUACGCCCUUUUGGGGAAAGGCUUGCUGCCGGAGGAUCGGCCCGCGUCUGAUUAGCUAGUUGGUGAGGUAACGGCUCACCAAGGCGACGAUCAGUAGCUGGUUUGAGAGGAUGAUCAGCCACACUGGGACUGAGACACGGCCCAGACUCCUACGGGAGGCAGGAGUGGGGAAUAUUGGACAAUGGGCGCAAGCCUGAUCCAGCCAUGCCGCGUGAGUGAUGAAGGCCUUAGGGUUGUAAAGCUCUUUUAUCCGGGACGAUAAUGACGGUACCGGAGGAAUAAGCCCCGGCUAACUUCGUG
rnacentral:rRNA from 1 species